ACAGUUUGCUGGUUGGUAGUUGUAUUCUGUAGGAGCCGUGAAAGGGUUGCAGACUAGCUUUAGAUCUGUGGAGAAUAAUGGCCGCAGAGCUGAUAUUUUUAUAUUCACCUGAAUUGUGGAUAGAUAAAUAGCAGUUGUAGAGUUGGGGAAGACAAAUGUUCCAGUUUUAUUUUGAUUUGUUCCUAGGUUAUCCGGUAUGCUUCGCAUUGCUCCUGUUACAUUAUGUAAUGUGUCUGAUGCUCCAUCCGCCAUAUCUACAAUUAUAUGCAUAAUUGUCUUUGCUUUCGAAUGAAAUUUCGAGCUUCCACCAAGAACGACUCCUGAAGCAGCACUUUAGAGAAACAACAGGUACUUGAGAUUCAACAAGAGCACCCUUUUCAUCUAAACCAGUUAAAUUAACCAUAUUCUAUCUGCCAGUUCCCCGCUUUUGGAGACUGAACGGUCCGUUCUAUUGGGGAGGUCAGCCAACAUGUAUGUGUGCCAGUGUUUAUGGGAGAGAUUAAUAUUUGCUUACUGCCUGGCACGUAAUUUUGUAAAGAAGUCGUGUUGAAAUUUCUGUAGUUAUUGGCUGUGAAAACUGGAAUUGGACGACGAUCAAUUUGAAAUUGAAACCAUAUAUGACACUAAAGAUUUUAUA